rnacentral:lncRNA from 1 species
GUGAGAGGAGUUCAAGAAACUUAAAUUUCAAAAUUAAAGAUUCAUUAAGCAGAAACUCCAGUCAGCAUUCAACUCGAGGAGAUGUAGAAUCUGAAUCAGCAAAAGCUCGCAUCCCGUUUGCUGUGGAUGAGAAACCUGUUCAAGUUCAAACAACAAUAAAUGGGAGAAGAGCAAAAGGGCAUAAACUCGAGGUCCCUCGAAAUAUUGACGAAGCAAAGACCAAAAAGAGUGCAAAUGUUUAUAACAUGCCGAGGACAAUGAAGAAUCAAAGUUCCAAUUUGCAAGAGAGGAAACAGACAAGGCAGGAGAAACCUGCUAUCUCAAGAGAAGCAGAUCAUGAAGCCAGCAGGUUCGAAGAAGCAGAAACACAGAUCAUUAGACCCAACGUGUCAGUAGCAAGCCCAAAAUCAUCACGCGUAGCACAAGAACUGCAGACAGAAGCACAAAAAGAUUCAAU